UUGAAAGGGAAACGAUUGAAGUNAGUCGUCCCGCCGAGAAAUCAGCUUUUCGAAUGUGNAUUUGUGGGCGUAUGAGAUUUUNAUUGUUUCCAAUAUGCGUAUUUUUUUGGUGUACUUUUUCGUAUGGUAGGUCACCNUCGCUUUUGCCCGCCAUAAAAUGAUAGGAGGAAUGUAGCUUCCCCUUCGGUUGAAGUGUUAUAGCCUUUGGUAAAUGUGGUGAUUAAGCCGAGGAUUGCAACGAAUACCUUUUAGGCUAUCCGUCUGCCUCUGAAAGCCCCUCGGUGCUGACCCUCNCCCCNNCNNNNCCAUNUGACUAGUAAUAGGUUAGACCCGAUCNNCUUCGUUAAGGAUGUUGACGUA
rnacentral:rRNA from 1 species